rnacentral:rRNA from 1 species
GAUGAACGCUGGCGGCGUGCCUAAUACAUGCCAGUCGAGCGAACGGACGAGAAGCUUGCUUCUCUGAUGUUAGCGGCGGACGGGUGAGUAACACGUGGAUAACCUACCUAUAAGACUGGGAUAACUUCGGGAAACCGUAGCUAAUACCGGAUAAUAUUUUGAACCGCAUGGUUCAAAAGUGAAAGACGGUCUUGCUGUCACUUAUAGAUGGAUCCGCGCUGCAUUAGCUAGUUGGUAAGGUAACGGCUUACCAAGGCAACGAUGCAUAGCCGACCUGAGAGGGUGAUCGGCCACACUGGAACUGAGACACGGUCCAGACUCCUACGGGAGGCAGCAGUAGGGAAUCUUCCGCAAUGGGCGAAAGCCUGACGGAGCAACGCCGCGUGAGUGAUGAAGGUCUUCGGAUCGUAAAACUCUGUUAUUAGGGAAGAACAUAUGUGUAAGUAACUGUGCACAUCUUGACGGUACCUAAUCAGAAAGCCACGGUUAACUACGUG